rnacentral:rRNA from 1 species
CUACGGGUGGCAGCAGUAAGGAAUAUUGCGCAAUGGAGGCAACUCUGACGCAGCCAUGCCGCGUGCAGGAAGAAGGCCUUAUGGGUCGUAAACUGCUUUUAUUUAGGAAUAAACCCUCGCUCGUGAGCGAGGCUGAAGGUACUGAAUGAAUAAGCACCGGCUAACUCCGUGCCAGCAGCCGCGGUAAUACGGAGGGUGCAAGCGUUAUCCGGAUUGAUUGGGUUUAAAGGGUGCGCAGGCGGGCUAUUAAGUCAGUGGUGAAAUCCCGGGGCUCAACUCCGGAACUGCCAUUGAUACUGAUAGUCUUGAGUUUGGUUGAAGUGGGCGGAAUGUAGCAUGUAGCGGUGAAAUGCAUAGAUAUGCUACAGAACACCAAUCGCGAAGGCAGCUCACUAAGCCAAAACUGACGCUCAUGCACGAAAGCGUGGGGAUCAAACAGGAUUAGAUACCCGGGUAGUC